GUAAAGAUAGCAGGGACCAGACUGUAACACCAGCGUCUUCAGCGUGCGCCACCUCAGGAGCACGAGAGAGAGAGAAAUGGGGAAAAGGCGAAACUGUUGAAAAGCCAAGGUUAAAAACAAGUGAGUUUCAAAAUUCAACAUGUCCAGUGUUCGCAUCUCUGGUGUCUCUUUGCAACGUGUUCCUUAGUUCACAGUAUUCCCCAUCCCCACUGGAUAAUCUAAGUGCUCUACUGGGCGUGUGUUCUGAUAGACAAUCAGUGAUGUGUUUUGUUGUUUGACCAUUUAGUGAUUUCAGAACAAGUGAAUCUUAUAAGCAGUUUAAGCCAGGGCAGUGAAACGAGGACAGCGUUAAUAUUUUUACUUCGUUACGGUCAGAAUUCGCUUCUGUGUUAAUGAGUUGGAUUGUAGCCUGCUCUUGGUAAGGAGAGCACGGUAGACUGCGGGAGAAACACGGAAUACCAAGGAUUUGGCUCCCUCUGCUGGACAGAGAGAGCCUCUGCAGCACAGCGGUCAGCUGCCAAAUAGCGCACCUGGAAUGAAUAUCUUCAUUACGGCGGAGCAGAAGGGGAACAUGCUUGGCGCAGAGAACCUGUUGCAUGCAGUGUGGCAGAUGUUUCGCUCGUGGGAAACGCUGACUUAGCGCUGUCGAUAUUCCUGCGCAUCAGCCCUUUUCCUGGUCUUCACUCCGAAAACUCGAGACUGCGAUCCAAAAGCCUUCUGUCUGCCCCGUUCCAAGCCGAGCAGGACCAGGGAUGGGCGCACCUUCGUGAUUCCGGGGAGGUCCACCAGCGUGAGGUUCACCACAUGAGGGGAGAAGACUUUCAGGUGGCAGUGUUUUACUGAGGAGAACAGGAUGGGUUGUCUGACGAUGCCUGACCAGUUUCUUCCGUAAAUUGCAGGUCUCAAACACACUUUAAUCGGAAUGGAUCUGUUUGCCUCAAGCAACAUCUAGCUCUCCUUUCGUUUCGUGGUCAGCAAAGCCUGUCAUUCUACGGGCAGGUUUUCUCACACGCGCCCCAGAGAACGCAGUGCUUCAGUUUCCUCGCGUCGCAGACAAGGCGCGGAGACGGAAUCGAACAUGACAACGAGCGGGAGGUGUAAGGAACCCGUACCGAUCGACCCGCGCCAGAUAAAGAUACGUCGGCAUGCGACAGACGUCCCAGUGGCACAACUCACAGCGAAAGAGACGAGGGGAAACACAAACCGGCUGAGCAUCAUCGCUCGAACACGGACGUGCUCCAAACACCGGAGAGACCAAUGGAGGGGAGCAGAAAUCAUCGCCGAAUAUCACGGUGUGGCGCCACCUGCAGGAGAUAGAAAAUACUGCAAAGGAGAUGUAAGAUUGCAACAGCUUCGACAACUUUGCAGUCAUUUGCGCCCUCUAGUG